AACACAAUGAACAGGUAUCCUCUCUAGAGGGCCAGGUGGCCAGGCUGAGAGCAGCAGUGGAGAGAGGAGAGGCACAGAGACAGACUCUCGAGUAUGAUAUGGCUGUAGUCAGGAAGGAGGCUGGAGUAGAGAGAAGUAACCUCCAGGAAAACAUGGCUGCUCUCUGCAGUCAGAAUGAACAACUCGUGGAGCUGCAGGAGAGAGUGUGUCAGCUAGAGGCUCUGGAGAU